CCUACGGGAGGCAGCAGUGGGGAAUAUUGCACAAUGGGCGGAAGCCUGAUGCAGCAACGCCGCGUGAGGGAUGAAGGCCUUCGGGUCGUAAAGCUCUGUCCUCAAGGAAGAUAAUGACGGUACUUGAGGAGGAAGCCCCGGCUAACUACGUACCAGCAGCCGCGGUAAUACGUAGGGGGCUAGCGUUAUCCGGAAUUACUGGGCGUAAAGGGUGCGUAGGUGGUUUCUUAAGUCAGAGGUGAAAGGCUAGGGCUCAACCGUAGGAAGCCUUUGAAACUGGGAAACUUGAGUGCAGGAGAGGAGAGCGGAAUUCGUAGUGUAGCGGUGAAAUGCGUAGAUAUUAGGAGGAACACCAGUUGCGAAGGCGGCUUUCUGGACUGUAACUGACACUGAGGCACGAAAGCGUGGGGAGCAAACAGGAUUAGAUACCCGUGUAGUC
rnacentral:rRNA from 1 species